rnacentral:misc_RNA from 1 species
GAUGAAGAACGUAGCGAAAUGCGAUAAGUAAUGUGAAUUGCAGAAUUCAGUGAAUCAUCGAAUCUUUGAACGCACAUUGCGCCCGCCAGUAUUCUGGCGGGCAUGCCUGUUCGAGCGUCAUUUCAACCCUCAGGCCCCGCCUGGCGUUGGGGAUCGGCGCGGCCCUCUCCGGGCUGCCGGCCCCGAAAACUAGUGGCGGUCUCGCUGUAGUCCUCCUCUGCGCUGUAGCAACGCUCGCACUGGAACUCGGCGCGGCCACGCCGUAAAACACCCCACUUCUGAAAGUUGACCUCGGAUCAGGUAGGAAUACCCGCUGAACUUAAGCAUAUCAAUAAGCGGAGGA